GACGAACGCUGGCGGCGUGCUUAACACAUGCAAGUCGAACGGAAAGGCCCCUUUGGGGGUACUCGAGUGGCGAACGGGUGCGUAACACGUGAGUAACCUGCCCUUGACUUCGGGAUAACUUCAGGAAACUGGGGCUAAUACCGGAUAGGAAUCCUUGCUGCAUGGUGGGGGUUGGAAAGCUUCGGCGGUUUUGGAUGGACUCGCGGCUUAUCAGCUUGUUGGUGGGGUAGUGGCUUACCAAGGCUUUGACGGGUAGCCGGCCUGAGAGGGCGACCGGCCACAUUGGGACUGAGAUACGGCCCAGACUCCUACGGGAGGCAGCAGUGGGGAAUAUUGCACAAUGGGCGGAAGCCUGAUGCAGCAACGCCGCGUGCGGGAUGACGGCCUUCGGGUUGUAAACCGCUUUCAGCAGGAGCGAAGCUUGUGGUGACGGUACCUGCAGAAGAAGCACCGGCUAACUACGUG
rnacentral:rRNA from 1 species